UCAGUGGUAAGAUAAAAGUACUCACAAAGUGCAAUAUUUCCUCUUGCACCCCAGGGAACCAGCUUCCCAGUAUAUGCGUCACUGGGAAUCUUCCAAGCAUAGACGUUGAAGAGAAUAUUUGGGCCAUGCAAGAGGGCAGAAGGGCAGAAGGGAACCGAGGGCUUCUUGGUGCACUUACUUGCCAUCGUGAAAAGUUCCAGUGAAGAAGCCAUAUGCAUAAUCCAUGAGUCUGUCCUCCAGCUUCAUGAACUUAUUUAUGCGCAUAAGAAUUUCAUGCGAUAAUGAAGAGAAGGUGAUUCUUCUUUCGAUGAACAGUAAGAGCAAUAACCAUGAGCUUAUGAAAUGGAAGACUUGCUCCCAGCAUUUAGAAGUCACACAGGAGAAGGUAGUUUAUAUCUUCAGAUUAUUUCAACAGUUUCAAAAAUAGACAACCUGUAAAAUGUGAGAAGAACAAGCCCUUGGAAUUUUUCAGGGUCAGCCUGGCAUGAUCAAGGUUGG
rnacentral:lncRNA from 1 species